AGCACGGAGUUUUCGGACAACGAUGCUUAGUGGCGGACGGGUGAGUAACGCGUGAGCACCUGCCUUGGAGUGGGGAAUAACAGCCGGAAACGGCUGCUAAUACCGCAUGAUAUCGCAUGGUCAAAGAUUUAUCGCUCUGAGAUGGACUCGCGUCUGAUUAGCUAGUUGGUGAGGUAACGGCUCACCAAGGCGACGAUCAGUAGCCGGACUGACAGGUUGGCCGGCCACAUUGGGACUGAGACACGGCCCAGACUCCUACGGGAGGCAGCAGUGGGGAAUAUUGGGCAAUGGGCGAAAGCCUGACCCAGCAACGCCGCGUGAAGGAAGAAGGCCCUCGGGUUGUAAACUUCUUUUGUCAGGGACGAAGCAAGUGACGGUACCUGACGAAUAAGCCACGGCUAACUACGUGCCAGCAGCCGCGGUAAUACGUAGGUGGCAAGCGUUAUCCGGAUUUACUGGGUGUAAAGGGCGUGUAGGCGGGAGUGCAAGUCAGAUGUGAAAACUAUGGGCUCAACCCAUAGCCUGCAUUUGAAACUGUACUUCUUGAGUGAUGGAGAGGCAGGCGGAAUUCCCUGUGUAGCGGUGAAAUGCGUAGAUAUAGGGAGGAACAC
rnacentral:rRNA from 1 species